rnacentral:lncRNA from 15 species
GUUUAUUUGUGGAGACAGAAACAUGAACAAAGCUUUUGCUCCAUACCAGCACUUCAGCUACUAACAUAUAUUUAACUGCUCAUUAUUAAUCUGAAUAUACUGUAGUGGUGUGUGUUUGUUUUUUAUAGUAUAUAUUUCCUAUUGAAUGCAGUGAUUGUACAUGUAUAUGUGAAUGUGUUUGCCUUCCUCCAGGCAGUCCAUUGAAACUUGAGUCAGAGCAUCCAUCACAGUGAACAUCAUGUCUCAUCAUGUGUUAUACUGUAGCUGUCAGAGCUGUGCUGCUGCAGUUCAAAGUGCACUGACUUCACCAGUCUUAAACACCGAGUCUGAAUCAACAAGACAACAGAAUUAGAAGAGAAUUGUUCAUUAUUAUAAUACAAUGCACUGACUUUAUACUGUUUAUAAUGUGUACAUAUUGUAAAUAAAUCUCUAUAUGAAAGAAGUAUUUUAAUAGUCUUUAAUAAAACAUAUUGUAUUGUAUAUAUUUCCUAUUGAAUGCAGUGAUUGUACAUGUAUAUGUGAAUGUGUUUGCCUUCCUCCAGGCAGUCCAUUGAAACUUGAGUCAGAGCAUCCAUCACAGUGAACAUCAUGUCUCAUCAUGUGUUCUACUGUAGCUGUCAGAGCUGUGCUGCUGCAGUUCAAAGUGCACAUUGAACUUCAAACUUUGAAUCAUCCACUGAUUUAAUCCGACAAUGAUGUUGCUGUUGUUAAAAUAGGUUUGCAAUAAUUAAUAAUAAUAAUAAAUAACACUGUAUGGUCUUCCUGCAGAUUUAUAGAGUAUCUGUGAUAUUUCAACAGUUUCUCUUUGUCUGUAGAGAUGUAGAUUAUCAACAAAGUACAUGUGACAGUUCAUGAACAUACCCUAACCAUAAUUUGUUUUUGUACCUAAACCUAACCAAAACUUAACCACAGUGAUGUAAUAUCAGACAAUAUCAACUAAUAAGAUGUUGAAAUAUUACAAAUAAUCUAUAAACUAUGUGUAGCAGGACGAUCCAAAUAAAGAGUUAUCCAAUAAGUAAUAAGCCAAUUAGCGUGUCUUAAAACAUAUUUUAUAAAAUAAUUUUUCUUUAGACGUCCUCGGCUCUGUGUGUAUACAUAUCUCACACUUGACUUGAAUUCUGGAUCCAGUAUGUCUGUAUCUCUUAUGAAGAUCUUUCUCAGUUCUCAUCUUACUAAAAUAAAGUUCAGCAAGUAACCAGGCAGCAUCUGUUCUUUGUG